GACGAACGCUGGCGGCGUGCUUAACACAUGCAAGUCGAACGGAAAGGCCCUGCUUUUGUGGGGUGCUCGAGUGGCGAACGGGUGAGUAACACGUGAGUAACCUGCCCUUGACUUUGUGAUAACUUCAGGAAACUGGGGCUAAUACCGGAUAGGAGCUCCUGCUGCAUGGUGGGGGUUGGAAAGUUUCGGCGGUUGGGGAUGGACUCGCGGCUUAUCAGCUUGUUGGUGGGGUAGUGGCUUACCAAGGCUUUGACGGGUAGCCGGCCUGAGAGGGUGACCGGCCACAUUGGGACUGAGAUACGGCCCAGACUCCUACGGGAGGCAGCAGUGGGGAAUAUUGCACAAUGGGCGGAAGCCUGAUGCAGAAACGCCGCGUGCGGGAUGACGGCCUUCGGGUUGUAAACCGCUUUCGCCUGUGACGAAGCGUGAGUGACGGUAAUGGGUAAAGAAGCACCGGCUAACUACGUG
rnacentral:rRNA from 1 species